rnacentral:tRNA from 1 species
GCCCGGAUGGCGGAACUGGUAGACGCAAGGGACUUAAAAUCCCUCGGCCUUUGGCUGUACGAGUUCGAUUCUCGUUCCGGGUA